rnacentral:misc_RNA from 1 species
UGAAUUUGUAUCUCAAGCAUGGGACUUCUUCUCGGAUGCAAAUGUUGAGGUUAACACUUAUGUCAUGGAAGCCAACGUUAAUGGUGUUAUCACAGACUUCCCUCUAACAGCAAGUAGAUACAAAAGUGAGAGAGUUCUAUGUGGCUUCUUUCUAUUUAUUUGACAUAAAAAUAUAUUUAGGAUAUGUUUCACAUGCCAUAAUUAGAAAGAGGUUCUAUUUAUUUAAUCCGUUGCAUUCUUUAUCCCAUUGCAUUUUGUUAGUCUGCCAAAAGGGUGAAUUCUUCAUCAACUUAUGGGUUUCUGGACAUAUUUUAAAACUAUUUUACCAUAUUCCUUGAGGUUGCAUUUGGCUUCAUGGAUU